rnacentral:rRNA from 1 species
UACGUAGGGGGCAAGCGUUGUCCGGAAUCAUUGGGCGUAAAGAGCGCGUAGGCGGCCCUGUAAGUCCGCUGUGAAAGUCAAGGGCUCAACCCUUGAAUGCCGGUGGAUACUGCAGGGCUAGAGUCCGGAAGAGGCGAGUGGAAUUCCUGGUGUAGCGGUGAAAUGCGUAGAUAUCGGGAGGAACACCAGUGGCGAAGGCGACUACCUGGCCUGUUCUUGACGCUGAGGCGCGAAAGCUAGGGGAGCAAACGGGG